AGUGAACGCUGGCGGUAGGCCUAACACAUGCAAGUCGAACGGCAGCACAGUAAGAGCUUGCUCUUACGGGUGGCGAGUGGCGGACGGGUGAGGAAUACAUCGGAAUCUACUUUUUCGUGGGGGAUAACGUAGGGAAACUUACGCUAAUACCGCAUACGACCUACGGGUGAAAGCAGGGGAUCUUCGGACCUUGCGCGAUUGAAUGAGCCGAUGUCGGAUUAGCUAGUUGGCGGGGUAAAGGCCCACCAAGGCGACGAUCCGUAGCUGGUCUGAGAGGAUGAUCGGCCAAACUGGACCUGAGACACGGUCCAGACUCCUAGGGGAGGCAGCAGUGGGGAAUAUUGGACAAUGGGCGCAAGCCUGAUCCAGCCAUACCGCGUGGGUGAAGAAGGCCUUCGGGUGGUAAAGCCCUUUUGUUGGGAAAGAAAAGCGGCAGGUUAAUACCCCGCUGUUCUGACGGUACCAAAAGAAUAAGCACCGCCUAACUUCGU
rnacentral:rRNA from 1 species